rnacentral:lncRNA from 1 species
AUGUGGUUCUCCCGCCCGUCGAUUGGGCUUUGCAGGAAGCUCCGCCUCGCCGAGUCAGUCAAGGGCGACAGUUGGUCCGGCGUCGGUGCACCAGAGGCUCUCUUCCUGGCAGAAUUUGGGAGUUGUUUAUUGCAGUACUGUUGUGCCCUCUGAUGGUGAGUUGUGGCAAACCCAUUUUUUUUAAGUCUUUUUUUUCCCCCUCCUCCUUAGCUCAGUGUUUCCCAUUCUCUGGUGGACAUACAAAUUUAUAAGCUAUACUCUUUCACUUAAGGUGAGUUUGGUGCCAGAAAGAGAAGGGUUAAAGAAGGGAAAUAAAAUCUGAAUGAGGAACUAGUGGAUAUAGAGGGAAAACCAAGAAGAAAAACAAAUGGGCUCAAGACUUCAUAGAUCACAGAAUAUUCACUUACAUUUCAAAAUUGGAGACAUAAUUAAUGUGAAGGUCACAGAAGUAACAUCUUUUGCGUUUCAUAACCACUGGGCUUUCAUGCAAUGAUUACUGAUCAAAUAAUCUCUCCCCUUUGUGGUAUCAGCCUGCACUGAAACAAUUCAAAGU